CAACAGAAAUUUAUUCUCUCACAAUUCUGGAGGCUGGAAGUCCAAGAUCAAGGUGCUCUCAGGGUUGGUUUCUGGGGAGGCCUUUCUUUCUGGCUUGUAAACAGGCCUCUUUUCCCUGUGUUCUCACAUUGCCUCUU
rnacentral:miRNA from 1 species